AGGAUCAUUAUUGAAAUAAACCUGAUGGGUUGUUGCUGGCUCUCUUGAGAGCAUGUGCACGCCUUGUCGUCUUUAUAUCUCCACCUGUGCACCUUUUGUAGACCUUCCAGGUCUAUGUUGUUUCAUUUACCCCAAUGUAUGUUAAUAGAAUGUUGUGCCUAUAAAUUUUAUACAACUUUCAGCAACGGAUCUCUUGGCUCUCGCAUCGAUGAAGAACGCAGCGAAAUGCGAUAAGUAAUGUGAAUUGCAGAAUUCAGUGAAUCAUCGAAUCUUUGAACGCACCUUGCGCUCCUUGGUAUUCCGAGGAGCAUGCCUGUUUGAGUGUCAUUAAUAUAUAUAUCAAACCUUCUCUUGUUGAGUGGUUUGGAUGUGGGGGGCUUGCUGGCCUGUUAAAGGGUUCAGCUCUCCUGAAAUGCAUUAGCUGAACAAACCUGUUCAUUGGUGUGAUAACUAUCUACGCUAUUGAAUGUGAGGUACAGUUCAGCUUUCUAACAGUCCUUGGACAAUUUAUCAUUAAUGUGACCUCAAAUCAGGUAGGACUACCCGCUGAACUUAAGCAUAUCAAUAAGCGGAGGAAAAGAAACUAACAAGGAUUCCCCUAGUAACUGCGAGUGAAGCGGGAAAAGCUCAAAUUUAAAAUCUGGCGGUCUUUUGGCUGUCCGAGUUGUAAUCUAGAGAAGUGUUAUCCGCGCUGGACCGUGUACAAGUCUCCUGGAAUGGAGCAUCAUAGAGGGUGAGAAUCCCGUCUUUGACAUGGACUGCCAGGGCUUUGUGAUGCGCUCUCAAAGAGUCGAGUUGUU
rnacentral:rRNA from 1 species